UACGUAGGGUGCGAGCGUUGCCCGGAUUUAUUGGGCGUAAAGAGCGCGCAGGCGGUCGUACAAGUCGCGUGUGAAAGCCCCCGGCUCAACUGGGGAGGGUCACGCGAUACUGUUCGACUCGAAGGCAGGAGAGGGAAGUGGAAUUCCCGGUGUAGUGGUGAAAUGCGUAGAUAUCGGGAGGAACACCAGUGGCGAAGGCGACUUCCUGGCCUGUUCUUGACGCUGAGGCGCGAAAGCUAGGGUAGCAAACGGG
rnacentral:rRNA from 1 species